rnacentral:piRNA from 1 species
UUCUCAGAAAACCCAAAAGGAAGGGCGAGA